UAUUUCAUCUGAAAUCCCAGCAGAGUCAGAAGAGAUCCACAUGGCGGAAUGGUGAUUUAAGUAACUCUCUUGUGGUGUCAUUGCAAGGCUUCGAUUGUAACUUGCCCUUUUCAGCAUGGAACACAGAAAGUGCCUGAUGCUUGGGCGAUGUCACAGAGGGACACAGCCAUGAAGCCCAAACAGCCCGAGACAGGCUAUCAUGUAGUUUCCUCAGCUCUCGCCAAGGCCUGCUGAAGAAAGGCAGGCAGCUGCCGGCCCAUCUGGCUAGCCUUAAUCCUGUAGUCAAAACUGUGUAGGAAAAUGAGCUCAAACAUGAACGUGACCACUCAACAGGAUGAAGGUUUUCUCUGGGGAGUGACAGGCUGCCUAAACAUCCCUGUUUUCUGGAAGCUGGUACCUCUCCUGGUCUACACUUCAAGAGAAGAGCCCCUUCAUCACAAGGACAAAGAGACACAUCUCUUCUUCCCUGGAUAUUUUUGACAUAAGAGCCGAACAGCUGGACUUGAAGUCUGAAGUAGGGAAGGCAAUCGGUGGGUCAGGCCUCGUUGUUGGUGUGUGUGUGUGUGUACCACUGCCGACCCCGCAGAGCCGUGGACUAGAAGAAGAACUUAGAUGAGGAUCAAUCUAAAGCUCUUCUCAACUCUGAAGCAACCUCGGGGGACAAGUGCAGCUGUGUUGUGCUGUGAUCAAUACCGGUGACCACUCCAGAAGGCCAUCUUGAUUCCCCAGGUAGCAGAAUGCCAUCAGGCAGGAUGAAGCUGAAAGACCUUGGACCGGUUAAAUUGGACUGUCAACUUGAAGGGGUUUAGAACGAACAUGGAAACAAAUCUGAGUGCAUUCCUAGGUUAAGUUAACCAAGGUGGGAGGACUCCCUGUGGAUGUGGGUAGUCCCCUUCCUGCGGGAGGAUCAGGGCAACCUGCAGAGCAGGAGAAACUGACUUGGGCACCAGCUCCCCCUCCUCCCCACACCCCCACAUUGUGGAUGCAAUGUGACCAGAUCAUUCAUACCCAGUGGUCAUAUCUUCUCUGCCAUGAUGUACUUACUGCACUCUCAAACUCUGAGCCCUAAUAAACCCUUCCUUAAGUUGUU